rnacentral:rRNA from 1 species
GAUGAACGCUAGCUACAGGCUUAACACAUGCAAGUCGAGGGGCAGCAUGGUCUUAGCUUGCUAAGGCUGAUGGCGACCGGCGCACGGGUGAGUAACACGUAUCCAACCUGCCGUCUACUCUUGGCCAGCCUUCUGAAAGGAAGAUUAAUCCAGGAUGGCAUCAUGAGUUCACAUGUCCGCAUGAUUAAAGGUAUUUUCCGGUAGACGAUGGGGAUGCGUUCCAUUAGAUAGUAGGCGGGGUAACGGCCCACCUAGUCAACGAUGGAUAGGGGUUCUGAGAGGAAGGUCCCCCACAUUGGAACUGAGACACGGUCCAAACUCCUACGGGAGGCAGCAGUGAGGAAUAUUGGUCAAUGGGCGAUGGCCUGAACCAGCCAAGUAGCGUGAAGGAUGACUGCCCUAUGGGUUGUAAACUUCUUUUAUAAAGGAAUAAAGUCGGGUAUGCAUACCCGUUUGCAUGUACUUUAUGAAUAAGGAUCGGCUAACUCCGUGCCAGCAGCCGCGGUAAUACGGAGGAUCCGAGCGUUAUCCGGAUUUAUUGGGUUUAAAGGGAGCGUAGAUGGAUGUUUAAGUCAGUUGUGAAAGUUUGCGGCUCAACCGUAAAAUUGCAGUUGAUACUGGAUGUCUUGAGUGCAGUUGAGGCAGGCGGAAUUCGUGGUGUAGCGGUGAAAUGCUUAGAUAUCACGAAGAACUCCGAUUGCGAAGGCAGCCUGCUAAGCUGCAACUGACAUUGAGGCUCGAAAGUGUGGGUAUCAAACAGGAUUAGAUACCCUGGUAGUCCACACGGUAAACGAUGAAUACUCGCUGUUUGCGAUAUACGGCAAGCGGCCAAGCGAAAGCGUUAAGUAUUCCACCUGGGGAGUACGCCGGCAACGGUGAAACUCAAAUGAAUUGACGGGGGCCCGCACAAGCGGUGGAGCAUGUGGUUUAAUUCGAUGCAACGCGAAGAACCUUACCUACUCUUGACAUCCAGAGAACAUUCCAGAGAUGGAUUGGUGCCUUCGGGAACUCUGAGACAGGUGCUGCAUGGCUGUCGUCAGCUCGUGUUGUGAAAUGUUGGGUUAAGUCCCGCAACGAGCGCAACCCUUAUCCUUUGUUGCCAGCGAUUCGGUCGGGAACUCAAAGGAGACUGCCGGUGAUAAACCGGAGGAAGGUGGGGAUGACGUCAAGUCAUCAUGGCCCUUACGAGUAGGGCUACACACGUGCUACAAUGGCGUAUACAGAGGGAAGCGAGAGUGCGAGCUGGAAACGAAAUCUCACAAAGUACGUCUAAGUUCCGGAUUGGAGUCUGCGAACUCGACUCCAUGAAAGUUCGGAAAUCGCUAGUAAUUCGCGAAUUCAGCCGCGGCGCGGUGAAUACGUUUCCCGGGCCA